ACUGACGAGCUCAAGCGGCAGUAUAAAAUGCGGUGCACGCGACAAUUACGUCAGAAUCUGAUACUGAACGCAGCUCUAGCUGAUCGAGUAACGAACACGGCGACCACCGUGAUAUCUCGUUCCCGCUCUCAGGGAACCGAGGUUACGAUAGUAACCGGAGCGUUCCCUCUCGAGCUUUCACGAGACAUCACGGAGAUAUUUCUCCGUUAUGGGAACGAUAUUCAAUCCCGCCGUGAGAGAGGCUACGAGCAGCCUGUACAAAUAAUAUAUUCCUGCACAAACGGAG